rnacentral:rRNA from 1 species
ACAAUGAUUUCCCUAGUAACGGCGAGUGAAGAGGAAAGAGCUCAAAGUUGGAACCUGUUUGGCUUAGCUAAACCGGAUUGUAAACUGUAGAAACAUUUUCCAGGCACGCUAGACAAAAAAGUCCUUUGGAACAGGGCAUCAUAGAGGGUGAGAAUCCCGUCUUAAUCUAAGUAGUUGUCUAUUUGUGAUAUGUUUUCAAAGAGUCAGGUUGUUUGGGAAUGCAGCCUAAAUUGGGUGGUAAAUCUCACCUAAAGCUAAAUAUUUGCGAGAGACCGAUAGCGAACAAGUACCGUGAGGGAAAGAUGAAAAGAACUUUGAAAAGAGAGUUAAACAGUAUGUGAAAUUGUUAAAAGGGAACCGUUUGGAGCCAGACUGGCUUGACUGUAAUCAUCCUACGACUCGUUGUGGGUGCACUUGCGGUCUUUGCCUGCCAACAACAGUUUGAUUUGGAGGAAAAAAAUAUUUGGAAUGUAGCCUUUUUCGGAAGGUGUUAUAGCCUUAUAUAUCAUACUCUGGAUUGGACUGAGGAUCGCAGUUAUUCUUUCUGCUUGUGUUUCUUUUGCUGAUAAAUGUUAGAAUUUCUGCUUAGGGUGGUGUUAAUGUUUAAAGGUAAAACUAGUAUAAGUUAUGAUAACUUAGGUUGUUGGCUUAAUGACUCUAAUGAC